rnacentral:lncRNA from 1 species
AUGGCUUACAGGCUGGUAUCCAGAUAGUUGAACAAUGCCUGUCUAACAACAAUGUCCAAUAAUCCAAUAGUUGUUCAGUCUGUGAGGCUGGAUAUCUUAGCUGGUCUUCAGUAUGUGCCAGAAUCCCAAAGAAGUAGGCUCUAGUGGAAUGGAUUUGCUAGUGAGAGUGAGAGCAAGCAGGCAGAGAACAAGCUUCCUUCUUCCAUGUCCUUAUAUAGGCUGCCACCAGAAGGUGUGGCCCAGAUUAAAGGUGCAUCUCCCCACCUCAAAAGAUCGGGAUUAAAAGUGGGUCUUCCCACUCCAAAUGAUUUAAUUAAGGGGAAAAAACAAAAACAAAAACAAAACUCCCUCACAGGUGUGCCCAGCUGUUUGGGUUUUAGUUAAUUCAGAGUAUAGUCAAGUUGACACCAUGAACAGCCACCAACUACCAGGGUUUCUCAUGGGUGAGCCAGGUGUGUCUGAAUCUGCUCCUAUUAAAAUGCAGAUUCCUGGCCUGUGCUCCACACUACUUCUCCGUGAUCUCAUUAAGUAGUACAGGCUGGUCUCAAACUUAAAAUCCUCCUGCCUCCGCCUCCUGAGUGCAUACUACAUAGCUCCUUGGGUCCUCCUGAAGCUUGGCAGUGUGAGAGCUGGGCCUGUAGGGAUGGUUAUCCCAAGCAAGCUUUUCUGAAGAACAUGGGGCCUUCUGUUUGGAGGAUCCGAGCUCGCCAGCCUUGUAUCUCUGACUGAAAACUCUCCCACAAACUUUGCCAGGAUCCCAGGGCUCAUUGCUAGAAAGGGGCGUGGCCUUUGGGACUAGUCACUGUGAGUCAUUUAACCAUGGGAACCACCAAGGGAGAGAGGAAGCAGCCAGCUCCCCCCAGAAGCCUCCAUGGUGCAGGAUUAACUUGGAGCCCAGUCCCCAGGUGGCUUCCCACACCUUUCUUGGGCUGAACAUGAGGCAAACGACCUUGUCCAAGUUCUACUGGGAAGUGGGACACUCAGCACAUCGGUCUUCAUCCCCACCAUGGACAACCUGGCCUCCUGUCCACAGGACACAACACAAACAGCAGAAAGGACAGCCUCUGGACAGUGCAAGCCUGAUUUAGACAACUGCCAAGCAGCAACAGGAGAGAAUGGAGGACUGCAGACUGGCAGCAGUAGCAGCAGCAGCCAGCUUUGGAGACAAACUCAUUGUGCCGCUGAUACAGGAAAGCCUUGAACAAAGUUUUCUCAAGAUUGAAGUCUGCAUAAGCACUGAGAUUUCUGGUUACGGUAUAUUCACAGGAAGAGACCAGACCUUGGGCAUGGGGCUCCUGACCAAGAAAGAGGCUGUGGACCUGUGAUGGCUAGUCUCUGUUGUCAACUGGACUACAUCUGGAAUGAACUAAAACCCACAGCUGGAUACACCAGCAAGGGAUCUUUUUCUUAAUUACAUCACUUGUAAGUAAAAGUGGGAUGACCACUUUUAAUCUGAAUCUUUUGGGGUGGGAAGAUCCACCUUUGGCGGGGACCACACCUCCUGCUGGCAGCCGGUACCAAGCACAGCUCCCAGCUCGUGGUGAGAAGAAGCCUGCUUGCCCUUGCUCUCACUCUUGCUGGCAAGUCCAUUCUGUCACUGGCAUCAGCCCUACAU